rnacentral:rRNA from 1 species
AUUGAACGCUGGCGGCAGGCCUAACACAUGCAAGUCGAACGAGUGGCGGACGGGUGAGUAAUGCCUGGGAAACUGCCUGAUGGAGGGGGAUAACUACUGGGAACGGUAGCUAAUACCGCAUACCAUCGGAUGUGCCCAGAUGGGAUUAGCUAGUUGGUGGGGUAAAGGCUCACCAAGGCGACGAUCCCUAGCUGGUCUGAGAGGAUGACCAGCCCAACUGGAACUGAGACACGGGCAAGACUCUUACGGGAGGCAGCAGUGGGGAAUAUUGCACAAGGGGCGCAAGCCUGAUGCAGCCAUGCCGCGUGUAUGAAGAAGGCCUUCGGGUUGUAAAGUACUUUCAGCGGGGAGGCGUUACCCGCAGAAGAAGCACCGGCUAACUCCGUGCCAGCAGCCGCGGUAAUAC